rnacentral:rRNA from 1 species
CCCCAUGAUCUGGUACAUGGCUGCUGGACCGUCGUAAUGAUUAAUAGGGACGGUCGGGGGCAUCAGUAUUCAGUUGUCAGAGGUGAAAUUCUUGGAUUUACUGAAGACUAACUACUGCGAAAGCAUUUGCCAAGGACGUUUUCAUUAAUCAAGAACGAAAGUUAGGGGAUCGAAGACGAUCAGAUACCGUCGUAGUCUUAACCGUAAACUAUGCCGACUAGGGAUCGGAGGGCGUUACAAUAACCUUUCCGGCACCUUACGAGAAAUCAAAGUUUUUGGGUUCUGGGGGGAGUAUGGUUGCAAGGCUGAAACUUAAAGGAAUUGACGGAAGGGCACCACCAGGAGUGGAGCCUGCGGCUUAAUUUGACUCAACACGGGGAAACUCACCAGGUCCAGACACAAUAAGGAUUGACAGAUUGAGAGCUCUUUCAUGAUUUUGUGGGUGGUGGUGCAUGGCCGUUCUUAGUUGGUGGAGUGAUUUGUCUGCUUAAUUGCGAUAACGAACGAGACCUUAACCUGCUAAAUAGCUGUAACAAUAGAUUAUUGUUUUGACAGCUUCUUAGAGGGACUAUCGAUUUUCAAGUCGAAGGAAGUUUGAGGCAAUAACAGGUCUGUGAUGCCCUUAGACGUUCUGGGCCGCACGCGCGCUACACUGACGGAGCCAGCGAGUCUAACCUGUGCCGAGAGGUAUGGGUAAUCUUGUGAAACUCCGUCGUGCUGGGGAUAGACAAUUUGCAAAUAAC